GCCCAGCCGGCCCAGCCAGGUCACUGGCCCGAGCCAGUGACCGGCUGAGCAAACUGAUGAUGCACGCGUAAAGCACUUUCACGCGUGCAUCAACAGUGCGAAGGUAAUGAAAUUACCUUCGCACUGUUCAAAUGGUUCGGUGAUCGAUUGGGAUCCCGCAGAGAUGAUAACAGGGUUAAUCCGUGAUCCUUUGUCUUUUCUCUCCUUUUCUGGCGAUAUAUUUUUCGGGCGAAAACUGGUUUCUUGCAGGGACGGAAUCGGGGUUGAUGUUGUUGUUCUUCCCUGUAUUUUCUUUUUUGAUUGUGUUUUGUUUUCUCUGUUUUUUUUUCUGGGUUUCUUGCUCUGUUUUUCUAUGUGAUUUCUUCCUUUCGUCUGGUUUUUCCUUUUUUUGAUUGUUGAUUUCUGCCUCUCUUUUAUAGGCAUUCAAACGAUUACCUCUAAAGGCAGGACUCUUAUCUUCCAUGCCAUGAUCUGGGGCGACAGACGUGGUCCAUGGCGAUCAAAUCUGUUGCAGAUCUUCAGCCUGUUGAAUCGGGAUGGAGAAGACGAACACGGCUGUUCCACCAGCCACAGCAGCAACGGACUCCACCAGGAACGGUGACGUUUUCAAUCAACUCGUGGACAGUUUCAGUUUGACCCCCGAACAUUGGAAAGUUUGCAAUUGGACCCCUAAAUAAAAUUAAACAAUUCUUUUAAUUUUAUCCUUUUCUGGAUAACUUUCAAUUAAAUCCCUAAAUUGGUGCACUGUUUACGAAACAGUCCUUAAUUCCUGGAUAUUCAAUUUG
rnacentral:lncRNA from 1 species